AUGAGGAGCCCCCCAACGGCUGUCAUGACGGUGGCAGCGCUGCUGCUGCUGCUGGUGGUAUCCCUGACGGCGGCGGCGGAGGACACGACGGCCAAGGAGAGGGAGAGGAUCCAGGAGUUGCACGAUCGGGUCUUGGCGGACUGGAAGGCAGGGCACGGCAAGAACAUCAGGAGCGAGGAGGAGAGUCGACGGGCGUUUGCCCAGUGA
rnacentral:rRNA from 1 species